UACGAAGGGGGCUAGCGUUGCUCGGAAUUACUGGGCGUAAAGCGCACGUAGGCGGCUCUUUAAGUCGGGGGUGAAAUCCUGGAGCUCAACUCCAGAACUGCCUUCGAUACUGAAGAGCUCGAGUCCGGGAGAGGUGAGUGGAACUGCGAGUGUAGAGGUGAAAUUCGUAGAUAUUCGCAAGAACACCAGUGGCGAAGGCGUCUCACUGGACCGGAACUGACGCUGAGGCGCGAAAGCGUGGGGAGCAAACAGG
rnacentral:rRNA from 1 species